rnacentral:rRNA from 1 species
AACGAACGCUGGCGGCAGGCUUAACACAUGCAAGUCGAACGCAUCCUUCGGGAUGAGUGGCAGACGGGUGAGUAACACGUGGGAACCUACCCAAAGGUACGGAAUAACACAGGGAAACUUGUGCUAAUACCGUAUGUGCCCUUCGGGGGAAAGAUUUAUCGCCUUUGGAUGGGCCCGCGUCGGAUUAGCUAGUUGGUGGGGUAAUGGCCUACCAAGGCGACGAUCCGUAGCUGGUCUGAGAGGAUGAUCAGCCACACUGGGACUGAGACACGGCCCAGACUCCUACGGGAGGCAGCAGUGGGGAAUAUUGGACAAUGGGCGCAAGCCUGAUCCAGCCAUGCCGCGUGAGUGAUGAAGGCCUUAGGGUUGUAAAGCUCUUUCAGCUGGGAAGAUAAUGACGGUACCAGCAGAAGAAGCCCCGGCUAACUUCGUGCCAGCCGCCGCGGUAACAC